GCGGGAGUGGUGAAAUUGGUAUACACGCAGGUUUUAGGUACCUGUGCCGCAAGGCGUGAGGGUUCAAGUCCCUUCUUCCGCA
rnacentral:tRNA from 3 species